rfam:Freshwater sediment metagenome lwFormaldehyde_BCIB2504_g1, whole genome shotgun sequence.
AAAGCCCGUCCGGUAGCGCCUGACCAGCGGCCGGAAGCGAGUCUUGCGUGGUGACCGGGUAACCGGCGCUGCGAAGCGUAGACAGCCAGUCCGAAAGCCAUGCUAUUGAGCGUCGAAAGCCCUCUCGUGGGAGCCUUUGCUGUGCACAUACCAAGGGCCACGCUGCUGCACCGUAACGGGUCUGGUGCACGCAGUCCUGCCGGCGUCGGAAGAACA